AAAUUUUCAUAGCUCUUUUAAAAUUUUUCUAACAGGAAUUCUGACCUUGGCCGGAAAUCCCAA
ensembl:snRNA LOC120094431 U7 small nuclear RNA